UAUGUGCAUCUUUCCUUAUUUUCAUUCACUCAUUUUUUUUGAAUUUGAUUCAAACUAAGAAGGAGAUAAUGUCUAAAAGAAAAGGUUUUUGGACCUUAAUUUUGUGUGACAAAAUUUUGGGAAGAGAAGGGGCGUGUGCUCUUUUAGAUGGGAGUUUUUUUUCUUACUGCACAACCUAAUCCCAAUGCAUCUAAUCCCUCCCUUUGGAUUUGAAUGCCUAAGAUCAAAU
rnacentral:lncRNA from 1 species